UUAUUAGAUUGACGAAGCUCCUAUUUAUUCUUAUCUUACUAUGAGUUUUCUUUAUAUACAUAUAUAUUUUUAACUUACACAGUGUUAUAUGUCAAUUAUAUUUCAAUAAACCUGGAAAAAGGAGGAAAAAAGACUGAAAACUUUCAUAUUUUGUGUAUCUUGUUCUCUGGUCUUCCUACCCUCUCUUUCCCAUGUUGUUGCCCAAUUACCUUUUCCUUGCUUCCAAAUUUUUAAUUACUUCUGACGUGACCUCCUAUCCAAUCCCUCACCAUUGUCUUUUACUUUACAGAGAAAAAAGAAUUUACUGGAGAGAUACUCUCACACUUUGCUAAUAUCCAACAAAUAGCUAUACCCAGCUACAUCUGUGCCUUAAAAAAAAAAUCUAAGUCCAAUGCCUCCAUGUGGUCUUUGGGUCCUCUACCCCUCACCUUCUCAGGAAACCAACAUGGAUUAUGACAAAUGACAAGAUCUCUUCCUUUUUUAUGGCUACAUAAUAUUCUAUUGUAUGUAUAUCAUACAUUUUAUAUAUACGUAUAUAUGUGCAUGUAUAUAUAUGUGUGUGUAUAUAUAUAUUUUUUUCUUUAUUGAUUCAUUCAUUGAUGGAUGCUUAGAUUAUUCCCAUGUCUUGUAAGCAUGGGGAUGCAGAUACCUCCUUGAGAUAGUGAUUUUAUUUCCUUUGGAUAGAUACCAGAAGUGGAAUUGCUGGAUCAUUUGGUAGUUGUAUUUUUAAUUUUUUGAGGAACUUCCACACUGUUUCCUACAGUGCUUGCAUCAAUUUACAUUCCCACCAACAGUGCACCAGGGCUCUCACCCACAUCUUUGCCAGCACUUGUUAUGUCUUUGCGUGUGUGUGUGUGUGUGUGUGUGUGUGUGUGUUUGUUAACAGCCAUUCUAACAGGUGUGAUGUGAUGUGAUAUCUCAUUGUGAUUUGGAUUUGCAUCUCUCUGAUGAUUAGUGAUAUUGAGCAACUUUUUAUACGUACUUGUUGACUAUUUGUAUAUCUUCUUUGGAAAAAAAAUGUCUAUUCAUGUCCUUUGCCCAUUUAAAAACUGGAUUAUUUAUUUUUCUUGCUAUUGACUUGUAUGAGUUACUUAUGUAUUUUGGAUUUAACCCCUUAUCAGAUAUAUGAUUUAUAGAUCUUUUCUCCCAUUUCAUAAGCUACCUUUUCAUUUUGUUAAUUGUUUCUUUUGCUUUUGUAGCUUUUUAGUUUGACAUAGUCCCACUUGUUUAUUUUUACUAUCAUUGGUGCUUUUGGUGCUUUUAAUAUCCAUGAAAUUAUUACCAAGAACAACGUCAAGGGGCUUUCCCCCUAAGUUUUCUCCUAGGAAUUUUAUGCUGUUGGGUCUCACAUUUAAGUCUUCAAUAUAUUUUGAUUUUUUGUGAGUGAUGUAAGGUAGAGGUCUCAUUUCAUUCUUUUCCAUGUGGUUAUCCAGUUUUGCCAGCACUAUUAAUAGUAGAGACUGUCUUUUCCCCAUUGAAUAUUUUUCACUCCCUUGUAAAUAUUAGUUGACUGUAUAUGUGUGGCUUUAUAUCUGGACUCUUGCUUCUGUUCCACUGGUUUGUUUGUCAGUUUUUAUGUCAGUACAAAACUGUUUUAAUUACUCUAACUCUGUAGUGUAGUUUGAAAUUAGAAAAUGAUUUCAAGCCUCCAAAUUUGUUCUUUCUCAAGAUUGUUUUAGCAGUUUGGGGUAUUUUGUUAUUCCAUAUUAAUUUUAGAAUUUUUUUCUAUUCCUGUAAAAAUGACACUGGAAUUUUGAUAGGGAUUGCAUUGAACCUAUAAGUGGUUUUAGGUAUUAUGGAAAUUUCAACUAUAUUAAUUCUUCCAAAUUCAUUAAUACAGAAUAUAUUUCCAAUUGUCUGUGUCCCUUCAGGUGUUUUUUAAAUC
rnacentral:lncRNA from 1 species